ACGCCGAUGGUGAAGCGGUUAUCAUGCUUGCCUUCCAAGCAAGCGGCAGGGGUUCGACUCCCCUUCGGCGUA
rfam:Paxillus rubicundulus Ve08.2h10 scaffold_273_c1, whole genome shotgun sequence.